rnacentral:rRNA from 1 species
UAAACUACGAUUAGAUACCCUAUUAUUUUAAAUGUUAAUUUAAAGGCUUGAGUAGUAUUAGUUAUGUUCUUGAAACUUAAAGAAUUUGGCGGUGUUUUAGACCUUUCAGAGGAACUUGUCCCGUGAUCGAUAUUCCUCGUUGGACCUAACUUUAUUUUGUAAUCAGCUUGUAUACCGCCGUCGUCAGAAUAUCCUUAUAGGGUUAUAAAUUUUCUUAAAUUUUUAUUAAAAAUGAUGUCAGGUCAAGGUGCAGUUUAUAAUUAAGGGGAGAUGAGUUACAAUAAAUUUAUUUAUUAUGGAUUAUUUUUUGAAAUAAAGGUAUGAAAGUGGAUUUGAAUGUAAUUGAAUUAAUUUAGUUAAUUUGAUUUUGGCUCUGAAACAUGCACACAUCGCCCGUCGCUCUUA